rnacentral:rRNA from 1 species
AACUAGGCAAAAGGGUACCGUAACUUCGGGAGAAGGUACGCCUCUGCUGGUGAGUUGCUUUACGCAACGGAGCUGGUGGGGGCCGCAGAGACCAGGUGGCUGCGACUGUUUAUUAAAAACACAGCACUCUGCAAAUUCGUAAGAAGACGUAUAGGGUGUGACGCCUGCCCGGUGCCGGAAGGUUAAUUGAUGGGGUUAUCUUUGGAGAAGCUCUUGAUCGAAGCCCCGGUAAACGGCGGCCGUAACGAUAACGGUCCUAAGGUAGCGAAAUUCCUUGUCGGGUAAGUUCCGACCUGCACGAAUGGCGUAACGAUGGCCACACUGUCUCCACCCGAGACUCAGUGAAAUUGAAAUCGCUGUGAAGAUGCAGUGUACCCGCGGCUAGACGGAAAGACCCCGUGAACCUUUACUAUAGUUUUGCACUGGACUUUGAUGAUGACUGUGUAGGAUAGGUGGGAGGCUAUGAAGUGAGGACGCUAGUUUUCAUGGAGCUGACCUUGAAAUACCACCCUGUUGUUCUUGAGGUUCUAACUUGGUCCCAUUAUCUGGGAUAAGGACAGUGUAUGAUGGGUAGUUUGACUGGGGCGGUCUCCUCCCAAAGAGUAACGGAGGAGCACAAAGGUACCCUCGGUACGGUCGGACAUCGUACCAAGAGUGUAAAGGCAUAAGGGUGCUUGACUGCGAGAGUGACGGCUCGAGCAGGUACGAAAGUAGGUCUUAGUGAUCCGGUGGUUCUGAAUGGAAGGGCCAUCGCUCAACGGAUAAAAGGUACUCCGGGGAUAACAGGCUGAUACCGCCCAAGAGUUCAUAUCGACGGCGGUGUUUGGCACCUCGAUGUCGGCUCAUCACAUCCUGGGGCUGAAGCAGGUCCCAAGGGUAUGGCUGUUCGCCAUUUAAAGUGGUACGCGAGCUGGGUUUAGAACGUCGUGAGACAGUUCGGUCCCUAUCUGCCGUGGGCGUAGGAAAAUUGAGAGGCGCUGCUCCUAGUACGAGAGGACCGGAGUGGACGAACCUCUGGUGUACCGGUUGUCACGCCAGUGGCAUCGCCGGGUAGCUAAGUUCGGAAGGGAUAACCGCUGAAAGCAUCUAAGCGAGAAGCCUCCCUCAAGAUGAGUUUUCCCAUGAAGCCCGUUGAAGACUACGACGUAGAUAGGCAAGGUGUGGAAGCCCAGUAAUGGGUGAAGCUAACUUGUACUAAUUGGCUGAUUGUCUUGACC